CUCUUGUGUUUUCAGAUGAGGAAACUAAGUCAAGUGACUUGCCCUGGGUCACACAGCAAGACAUCAUAAGACCAGGGAACAGAUCCAGUAGCCUUGGACUUUCUCAGACGUUUCCAAGACCACUGAACCAUACUACCUUCCAGAUCUACAGUACCGGACAAGCAUUGAGUUGAAAGCUGGAUCUUGCGGGUUCCUAGUUGUAGAACUUCUGCUGAAAAACAGAGGAGAGAAUUUCAACAUGAAGAGAUUACUUGAGAAAGCA